AGGAGGAAGAGCCCCAGUGGCGGGGCAGCUCUGGAAACCUGGAUUCAGCUCCGGCAGGAACUCCGUCUGCAGGGCCUGGAGGCUCCGGGGCGGG
rnacentral:pre_miRNA from 1 species